rnacentral:tRNA from 1 species
GCCCGCUUCCCGGUGCUUCCCAGGGCGGGGGCGGCCGACCCCCGGCCGGGCGCGCGGCGCCCGGCAGUGCCGCGCGCCGCAGCGCGGGGCGGGCGCC